GAUGAACGCUGGCGGCGUGCCUAAUACAUGCAAGUCGAGCGAACAGACGAGGAGCUUGCUCCUCUGACGUUAGCGGCGGACGGGUGAGUAACACGUGGAUAACCUACCUAUAAGACUGGGAUAACUUCGGGAAACCGGAGCUAAUACCGGAUAAUAUAUUGAACCGCAUGGUUCAAUAGUGAAAGACGGUUUUGCUGUCACUUAUAGAUGGAUCCGCGCCGCAUUAGCUAGUUGGUAAGGUAACGGCUUACCAAGGCAACGAUGCGUAGCCGACCUGAGAGGGUGAUCGGCCACACUGUAACUGAGACACGUUCCAGACUCCUACGGGAGGCAGCAGUAGGGAAUCUUCCGCAAAGGGCGAGAGCCUGACGGAGCAACGCCGCGUGAGUGAUGAAGGUCUUCGGAUCGUAAAACUCUGUUAGUAGGGAAGAACAAAUGUGUAAGUAACUAUGCACGUCUUGACGGUACCUAAUCAGAAAGCCACGGCUAACUACGUG
rnacentral:rRNA from 1 species